AUCCUGGCUCCAGAUUGAACGCUGGCGGGCAGGCCUAACACAUGCAAGUCGAACGGUAACAAGAAAGCAGCUUGCUGCUUUGCUGACGAGUGGCGGACGGGUGAGUAAUGUCUGGGAAACUGCCUGAUGGAGGGGGAUAACUACUGGAAACGGUGGCUAAUACCGCAUAACGUCGCAAGACCAAAGAGGGGGACCUUCGGGCCUCUUGCCAUCAGAUGUGCCCAGAUGGGAUUAGCUUGUUGGUGAGGUAACGGCUCACCAAGGCGACGAUCCCUAGCUGGUCUGAGAGGCAUGACCAGCCACACUGGAACUGAGACACGGUCCAGACUCCUACGGGAGGCAGCAGUGGGGAAUAUUGCACAAUGGGCGCAAGCCUGAUGCAGCCAUGCCGCGUGUAUGAAGAAGGCCUUCGGGUUGUAAAGUACUUCAGCGGGGAGGAAGGUGUUGUGGUUAAUAACCGCAGCAAUUGAC
rnacentral:rRNA from 1 species